rnacentral:rRNA from 1 species
GUCAGGACGAACGCUGGCGGCGUGCCUAAUACAUGCAAGUCGAGCGGACAGAUGGGAGCUUGCUCCCUGAUGUUAGCGGCGGACGGGUGAGUAACACGUGGGUAACCUGCCUGUAAGACUGGGAUAACUCCGGGAAACCGGGGCUAAUACCGGAUGGUUGUUUGAACCGCAUGGUUCAAACAUAAAAGGUGGCUUCGGCUACCACUUACAGAUGGACCCGCGGCGCAUUAGCUAGUUGGUGAGGUAACGGCUCACCAAGGCAACGAUGCGUAGCCGACCUGAGAGGGUGAUCGGCCACACUGGGACUGAGACACGGCCCAGACUCCUACGGGAGGCAGCAGUAGGGAAUCUUCCGCAAUGGACGAAAGUCUGACGGAGCAACGCCGCGUGAGUGAUGAAGGUUUUCGGAUCGUAAAGCUCUGUUGUUAGGGAAGAACAAGUACCGUUCGAAUAGGGCGGUACCUUGACGGUACCUAACCAGAAAGCCACGGCUAACUACGUGCCAGCAGCCGCGGUAAUACGUAGGUGGCAAGCGUUGUCCGGAAUUAUUGGGCGUAAAGGGCUCGCAGGCGGUUUCUUAAGUCUGAUGUGAAAGCCCCCGGCUCAACCGGGGAGGGUCAUUGGAAACUGGGGAACUUGAGUGCAGAAGAGGAGAGUGGAAUUCCACGUGUAGCGGUGAAAUGCGUAGAGAUGUGGAGGAACACCAGUGGCGAAGGCGACUCUCUGGUCUGUAACUGACGCUGAGGAGCGAAAGCGUGGGGAGCGAACAGGAUUAGAUACCCUGGUAGUCCACGCCGUAAACGAUGAGUGCUAAGUGUUAGGGGGUUUCCGCCCCUUAGUGCUGCAGCUAACGCAUUAAGCACUCCGCCUGGGGAGUACGGUCGCAAGACUGAAACUCAAAGGAAUUGACGGGGGCCCGCACAAGCGGUGGA